UUAAUUUUUUAGGUGGCAUUGUAUUGAUUUUGUAGCUGGUGGGUCUUUGGAGAACCAAACAUGAUGAACCCUAAAAUUUUCCUUUCUAAUUUUCGCUUCUCUUCCUUUUCCUUCGCUUGAUUAGUUAUAACAUGUAGCAAUAUCAAUGUAUAAUAAACUUCAUACGCAAUUUGGUAUGCAUUGAAUUGAUUUUGGGUGGUUAAUUUGGUGA
rnacentral:misc_RNA from 1 species